CAGCCGCCACGGGAAUACGAAGGGUGCAAGCGUUACUCGGAAUUACUGGGCGUAAAGCGUGCGUAGGUGGUGGUUUAAGUCCGUUGUGAAAGCCCAGGGCUCAACCUGGGAAUUGCAGUGGAUACUGGGUCACUAGAGUGUGGUAGAGGAUAGUGGAAUUUCCGGUGUAGCAGUGAAAUGCGUAGAGAUCGGAAGGAACAUCUGUGGCGAAGGCGACUAUCUGGGCCAACACUGACACUGAGGCACGAAAGCGUGGGGAGCAAACAGGAUUAGAUACCCCCGUAGUCCCUGUCUCUUAUAA
rnacentral:rRNA from 1 species